rnacentral:lncRNA from 1 species
AUGGAGGCGUCACAGCAGCCCAGCCCCGAGGGCGGUGUGAGGGACCAGGCUAGUGGCUCAUCCCAUGGUCUGUGUGUCCAUCCAUCAUCUUCCUCCGGGCAGGGAGGGAUGGGGAGCCUGUCCUGCAUCCCCUGCCCAACCAGGAGAGCGCCCAGCUCAGCGCACGAGGACUUGGCAGCAACGGGAACGGCCCAGGUGAAGGAAAAUCCAUCUAUUCCCACUCCUCUGUGCGGGAGGUUGGUGCCAGGGCAGGGUCUCCGCAGCCCACGAGCCCACCGGGGAGGGCAGAGCCCACCACAGGUCUCCAGGAAGAGCCUGGCACCCCUGGCCCAGUGCCCGUCACCGGCACGGUGGAGGUGUCACACCAGGCAGAAGAGCGGCGCUGCCAGAGGUCCUCAGCAGCGUGGAGAAGAGCAGGCAGCGUCUUCCCGGCCGGCGCUGGAGCACCCCUGCCACGCAGCUGCCGGUUGGAGCGCAAACCGCCCACGGUGCCAGCUCCCGUAUCCAUUUCCCUUCAGCUCACACCAAAUUUGUAGGAUCCUGGCUCCUUGCAGGCUCCUUGGAUCAAAGCAGGGGCUGGUGACAAGGCGUGACGAGCAGUCUCCAAGAGAAGCCACUGCCGGGCUCCGGGCUCCGGCACAGAAGGGACCGGCGCUGCCCCAACGGCCAACUCCAGCAUCCGCCACCGUCGGUGCCACCGGUGACCAACCCUGCUGGGAAACGGGGCACCGAGCCUCCCCGGGGAGGGCGGCCGGAGGGCAGCCGGGCAACGGUGACGACAGCCGUGCCACCCCGCUCCUCCCCACGGGCACCCGGUGGGAGCCCACGUGCCAGGUCCCUCCUGAUGCUCCGCCGCCACCCCAGCCUUCGAGGGGGGGGACAGGUCAGUCCCAAACAACCGCCCCACCGCCCACCGGGAGCUCUCCCAGCCCCACGGCUCCGUGCCAGCCCCGCGCCACCGGCUCCACGCACCCCCCAGCCAUCGGCACCCCAACCAGAUGCUCUGCCACGAGCCAGCCCGGCCACCCCGGGGCCACCUCCCCGCGUCACCGGUGGCCCCGGCUGCCGGGCGCCAUCCAGCACAGGCGGCAGUGA